rnacentral:rRNA from 1 species
AGCAGUAGCCGCGGUAACACGUAGGGUGCAAGCGUUAAUCGGAAUUACUGGGCGUAAAGCGUGCGCAGGUGGUUUAACAAGUUAGUGGUGAAAGGCAUAGGCUCAACCAAUGUAAGCCAUUAAAACUGUUUAACUUGAGUGCAGGAGAGGAAAGUGGAAUUCCUAGUGUAGCGGUGAAAUGCGUAGAUAUUAGGAGGAAUACCAGUGGCGAAGGCGACUUUCUGGACUGCAACUGACACUGAGGCACGAAAGCGUGGGGAGCAAACAGGAUUAGAUACCCGAGUAGUCCCUGUCUCUUAUACA